GUGACCCUAUAUGUUGUCCUUAUAGGGCCGUCCCGGGUGUCCCCUAAAUGUCAGCGCCCCAUAAGGGGGGGUAAAGCCGGAGCCCACCCCACAACCACAGGCCCCACCCCUGAAGCUUCAGACCCCCCCCAAGAUGGCGGACGGGAAAACAACGACCCCCCCCAGACCAACGGCAAAGCGCUGCUACCACUGGAGGAGCUGCGACAGUUCGGGGCUCAGUUCAAGGAAGGCCCGACGAUCCACCCUGAACCCCAACGCCAAGGAGUUCAACCCCUGCCGGGUAAUUAACGCCUGCAUUAAUUAAUGGGGGUUAAUUAGGGCUUCAUUAGGGGGGGACAUUAAUUGGGGGGGCCGCCAUCUUGGUUAUGAGGCCGCCAUCUUGUAUCUAGGGUGGCCAUCUUGUAUCUAGGGUGGCCAUCUUGGUUGUAGGGCUGCCAUCUUGGUUAUGGGGCGGCCAUCUUGGUUGUAGGGCCGCCAUCUUAGUUAUUGGGCGGCCAUCUUGGUUAUGGGGCCGCCAUCUUGAUUAUAGGGCGGCCAUGUUGGUUCUAGGGCGGCCAUGUUGGUUGUAGGGCCGCCAUCUUAGUUAUUGGGCGGCCAUCUUGGUUAUGGGGUGGACAUCUUGGUUAUGGGACCGCCAUCUUGGUUAUGGGGCGGCCAUCUUGGUUGUAGGGCCGCCAUCUUGUUUGUUGGCCGCCAUCUUGGUUGUAGGGCGGCCAUCUUGGUUAUGGGGCGGCCAUCUUGGUUAUGGGGCCGCCAUCUUGGUUAUGGGGCGGCCAUCUUGUAUCUAGGGUGGCCAUCUUGUAUCUAGGGCGGCCAUCUUGGUUGUAGGGCCGCCAUCUUAGUUAUUGGGCGGCCAUCUUGGUUAUUGGGCGGCCAUCUUGGUUAUGGGGCGGCCAUCUUGGUUAUGGGGCGGCCAUCUUGGUUGUGGGGCUGCCAUCUUGUUUCUAGGGCGGCCAUCUUGGUUAUGGGGCUGCCAUCUUGGUUAUGGGGCGGCCAUCUUGGUUAUGGGGCGGCCAUCUUGGUUAUGGGGCUGCCAUGUUUGUUAUGGGGCGGCCAUCUUGGUUGUAGGGCCGCCAUCUUAGUUAUUGGGCGGCCAUCUUGGUUAUAGGGCCGCCAUCUUGGUUAUGGGGCCGCCAUCUUGGUUAUGGGGCGGCCAUCAUGGUUAUGGGGCGGCCAUCUUGUAUCUAGGGCGGCCAUCUUAGUUAUUGGGCGGCCAUCUUGGUUGUAGGGCCGCCAUCUUAGUUAUUGGGCGGCCAUCUUGGUUAUGGGGCGGCCAUCUUGGUUAUGGGGCCGCCAUCUUGGUUAUGGGGCGGCCAUCUU